rnacentral:rRNA from 1 species
GACGAACGCUGGCGGCGUGCUUAACACAUGCAAGUCGAACGGAAAGGCCCUGCUUUUGUGGGGUGCUCGAGUGGCGAACGGGUGAGUAACACGUGAGUAACCUGCCCUUGACUUUGGGAUAACUUAAGGAAACUGGGCCUAAUACCGGAUAGAACCUCCGGCUGCUGGGUGGGGGUUGGAAAGUUUCGGCGGUUGGGGAUGGACUCGCGGCUUAUCAGCUUGUUGGUGGGGUAGUGGCUUACCAAGGCUUUGACGGGUAGCCGGCCUGAGAGGGUGACCGGCCACAUUGGGACUGAGAUACGGCCCAGACUCCUACGGGAGGCAGCAGUGGGGAAUAUUGCACAAUGGGCGGAAGCCUGAUGCAGCAACGCCGCGUGCGGGAUGACGGCCUUCGGGUUGUAAACCGCUUUCGCCUGUGACGAAGCGUGAGUGACGGUAAUGGGUAAAGAAGCACCGGCUAACUACGUG